rnacentral:rRNA from 1 species
UCUGGAGUAAAAGGNUAUGGCUCAACCAUAGUGUGCUCUGGAAACUGUCUGACUNGAGUGCAGAAGGGGAGAGUGGAAUUCCAUGUGUAGCGGUGAAAUGCGUAGAUAUAUGGAGGAACACCAGUGGCGAAAGCGGCUCUCUGGUCUGUCACUGACGCUGAGGCUCGAAAGCGUGGGUAGCGAACAGGAUUAGAUACCCUGGUAGUCCACGCCGUAAACGAUGAGUGCUAGGUGUUAGGCCCUUUCCGGGGCUUAGUGCCGGAGCUAACGCAAUAAGCACUCCGCCUGGGGAGUACGACCGCAAGGUUGAAACUCAAAGGAAUUGACGGGGGCCCGCACAAGCGGUGGAGCAUGUGGUUUAAUUCGAAGCAACGCGAAGAACCUUACCAGGUCUUGACAUCCCGAUGCUAUUCUUAGAGAUAGGAAGUUACUUCGGUACAUCGGAGACAGGUGGUGCAUAGUUGUCGUCAGCUCGUGUCGUGAGAUGUUGGGUUAAGUCCCGCAACGAGCGCAACCCUUAUUGUUAGUUGCCAUCAUUAAGUUGGGCACUCUAGCGAGACUGCCGGUAAUAAACCGGAGGAAGGUGGGGAUGACGUCAAAUCAUCAUGCCCCUUAUGACCUGGGCUACACACGUGCUACAAUGGUCGGUACAACGAGUUGCGAGCCGGUGACGGCAAGCUAAUCUCUGAAAGCCGAUCUCAGUUCGGAUUGGAGGCUGCAACUCGCCUCCAUGAAGUCGGAAUCGCUAGUAAUCGCGGAUCAGCACGCCGCGGUGAAUACGUUCCCGGGCCUUGUACACACCGCCCGUCACACCACGAGAGUUUGUAACACCCGAAGUCGGUGAGGUANCCUUUUAGGG